UACGUAGGGUGCGAGCGUUAAUCGGAAUUACUGGGCGUAAAGCGUGCGCAGGCGGUGAUGUAAGACAGAUGUGAAAUCCCCGGGCUCAACCUGGGAACUGCAUUUGUGACUGCAUCGCUGGAGUGCGGCAGAGGGGGAUGGAAUUCCGCGUGUAGCAGUGAAAUGCGUAGAUAUGCGGAGGAACACCGAUGGCGGAGGCAAUCCCCUGGGCCUGCACUGACGCUCAUGCACGAAAGCGUGGGGAGCAAACAGG
rnacentral:rRNA from 1 species